AGUGAACGCUGGCGGUAGGCCUAACACAUGCAAGUCGAACGGCAGCACAGUAAGAGCUUGCUCUUACGGGUGGCGAGUGGCGGACGGGUGAGGAAUACAUCGGAAUCUACUUUUUCGUGGGGGAUAGCGUAGGGAAACUUCGCUAAUACCGCAUACGACCUACGGGUGAAAGCAGGGGAUCUUCGGACCUUGCGCGAUUGAAUGAGCCGAUGUCGGAUUAGCUAGUUGGCGGGGUAAAGGUCCACCAAGGCGACGAUCCGUAGCUGGUCUGAGAGGAUGAUCAGCCACACUGGAACUGAGACACGGUCCAGACUCCUAAGGGAGGCAGCAGUGGGGAAUAUUGGACAAUGGGCGCAGGCCUGAUCCAGCCAUACCGCGUGGGUGAAGAAGGCCUUCGGGUUGUAAAGCCCUUUUGUUGGGAAAGAAAAGCAGCAGGUUAAUACCCCGCUGUUCUGACGGUACCCAAAGAAUAAGCACCGGCUAACUUCGUG
rnacentral:rRNA from 1 species